rnacentral:rRNA from 1 species
CCUACGGGUGGCAGCAGUGAGGAAUAUUGGUCAAUGGGCGAGAGCCUGAACCAGCCAAGUCGCGUGAGGGAGUACUGCCCUAUGGGUUGUAAACCUCUUUUGUCGGGGAGCAAAAGCCGGACGUGUCCGGCUGUGAGAGUACCCGCAGCAAAAGCAUCGGCUAACUCCGUGCCAGCAGCCGCGGUAAUACGGGGGAUGCGAGCGUUAUCCGGAUUGAGUGGGUUAAAAGGGUGCGCAGGCGGAUUUUUAAGUCCGCGGUAAAAGCGGGGGGCUCAACCCCAUCCAGACGUUGAAACUGGGGAUCUAGAGUGUGCGAGAGGUAUGCGGAAUGCGUGGUGUAGCGGUGAAAUGCAUAGAUAGCACGCAGAACACCGAUUGCGAAGGCAGCAUACCGGUGCACAACUGACGCUGAGGCACGAAAGCGUGGGUAUCGAACAGGAUUAGAUACCCGGGUAGUC